UAGACUGAGAAGAUAUUUUUUCACUGUUGUAGACAAACAUACUAAAUAUAUUGGAAAGUAAGUAAAUUAACUUUUAAGUAAUUAACUUUUCCUUUCC